GAUGAACGCUGGCGGCGUGCCUAAUACAUGCAAGUCGAGCGAACAGAUAAGGAGCUUGCUCCUUUGACGUUAGCGGCGGACGGGUGAGUAACACGUGGGUAACCUACCUAUAAGACUGGAAUAACUCCGGGAAACCGGGGCUAAUGCCGGAUAACAUUUAGAACCGCAUGGUUCUAAAGUGAAAGAUGGUUUUGCUAUCACUUAUAGAUGGACCCGCGCCGUAUUAGCUAGUUGGUAAGGUAACGGCUUACCAAGGCAACGAUAUGUAGCCGACCUGAGAGGGUGAUCGGCCACACUGGAACUGAGACACGGUCCAGACUCCUACGGGAGGCAGCAGUAGGGAAUCUUCCGCAAUGGGCGAAAGCCUGACGGAGCAACGCCGCGUGAGUGAUGAAGGUCUUCGGAUCGUAAAACUCUGUUAUUAGGGAAGAACAAAUGUGUAAGUAACUGUGCACGUCUUGACGGUACCUAAUCAGAAAGCCACGGCUAACUACGUG
rnacentral:rRNA from 1 species